GUAAAUUUUAGUAUAUAUAAUGCAUAGCAUUUUAGUCUUGUAACACACAAGAAAAUAUAAAGUGAAAUCCAACAAAAUGACUUCUCAAAGUUGUCACUCUUCUUAUUUUUUCGGUGUUUUAUGUAUUAUUUUGAUUUUGAAUUCAGGAUCUAUUACUAGUUUGGACACUCCAACUACACUAGAUUGCCCUUAUGGAAGAAAUGGACCACCAGCAGCAUGUUGCGUAGAUACUUGUAAUUCGAAUUGUGGGACAGAAUGUCUUAGAAAGGGAUUUCAAAAAGGUGGACAAUGUUGGUUUCCGGGUGGUCAAGAUACUUGUUGUUGUUUUAUUUAAGAAGCUAUGGUGUAUCAUUCAUAUCACUGAAAAAUAAAAGUUGCACCUUAAUUUGUGUUUGAAAAUUAGAAGCUAGAAGGAGUUUUUGUAAUGUUGGAAAUCUGUAAACCUCAAUUAUCGAUAAAUUCACUUUAAAAUGAAAAUAAAUUCUCACCAAUAA